AACUUCUGGAUGACAGCAAGUAAGGUGGGGGAGGUGAUAAUUCUGAUGGAAACUCCCAAAGGAAUCCCAUUGAGACAAGAGGCAAUGUGCUGCAGUGGAGAAAGGGAAGCAUCUCAUGGAAAAGGAAUCAGAUUUGGAGUCACAGGUCCUGAAUGUGAAUCCUCCUACCACCACUUAACCCCUCUGGGCCUCAGUUUACUCAUCUGUCAGCCUCAGUUUCCUCAUCUGUCAAAUGAUCCAGAGAAGAAAUCAGCAAACCACUCUAGUAUCUUGGCCAAGAAAACCUCAAAUGGAGCCAUGAAGAGUCAGACGCGACUGAACAACAGCCGAGGUGGACGGGGGAAGCCACUUGCUCAGUGUUAUACAACUUGUGAGUAUCUCAUGGUGUGGUCCCAGGUGUACCCAGAGGUUUUUUGGGGUUCUCAAGCUUUAGGCCUGUAUUGGAUGGGAUUUGAACUCAGAUCCUGAGACACCAGACGCAAUAUUUUUUAUUUGUGAUUUGCAGAGCCACGAGAAGAGGAGAAGCAGAGAUAUGUCAUGAGGAGGAGAGCAUUGGAUUUUGCAUUAAGGGACACGGGUUCAGAUUCCAUCUUGGUCACUUAUUCCAUGUAUAACCUUGGGCAAGUUACCCAAACAUUCCAGGCCUUGUUUCCUCCUUCCCUCCUCUGGGAAAUGAAGGGUCCAGCUUUAAUUUCUGCUGUUCUCCUGAUCUGAAGAAAUACGCUUUGAAUGUGAGCUGGGAGAUCUAGGAGAGAGAAGAGGCAUUGGGAAAGACGUUGGGGAAGUUCACCAUCUUGUCUUUCAAAGCAUCAGAAGAGAGCCUUGAACACCUGUUCCAGGUGACCUCCCAGACCGCUGAGCAGAGAAUAUCAGGGAGUGUCUUGACUUGAAAGGGGAUUUCCUUCCCGAGCUGAACCACAUGGGGUCUUUUCCCUUAUAGCCAGAGAAUGACAGCCUUGCAAGCAAUUUUUUCCUCCUUGCAAUAUUUCUUCCUUCUUUUUCAGAGCCAACAUUAGCAGGACUUGUAGUGAUAUACAGACACAACAAGCUGUCUUUGGAGGUGUGCUGACUCUGUGAGAUAGUGGAGUCAGAGAACUGGGUUCCUGCCUCCCUUCUGAUACUUCCUAUAUGACUUUGGACCAGUCACUUGUCCCUGGUCCCAGUUUCAUCAGCUGGAAAAUGGUCUAAACCUAUGAUCCUGUGAUCUCCCUGGCCCUCGGUUUCUUUGUUUGUAAAAUGAGAAAGUUGGACAAGAUGGCUUAAAUCUAUGAUCCAUAACCUCCCUGAGCCUCAGUUUCCUUCUCUGUGAAGUGUGGGGAUCAGAUGAAAUGUCCUCUAAGGUCCCUUCUAGCUCUCAAAUUCCCCCACCUCCUUCCCUCUAAGCACUUCGGCUUCUCUCCCCUGCAGGUUUCUUGAAACCUGUUUUCCAAAGUUCCCUUCCUCCCCUAAGAAAACAGGAGUCUGGGAA
rnacentral:lncRNA from 1 species